rnacentral:rRNA from 1 species
CAGGCUUAACACAUGCAAGUCGAGGGGCAGCAUGGUCUUAGCUUGCUAAGGCCGAUGGCGACCGGCGCACGGGUGAAUAACACGUAUCCAACCUGCCGUCUACUCUUGGACAGCCUUCUGAAAGGAAGAUUAAUACAAGAUGGCAUCAUGAGUCCGCAUGUUCACAUGAUUAAAGGUAUUCCGGUAGACGAUGGGGAUGCGUUCCAUUAGAUAGUAGGCGGGGUAACGGCCCACCUAGUCUUCGAUGGAUAGGGGUUCUGAGAGGAAGGUCCCCCACAUUGGAACUGAGACACGGUCCAAACUCCUACGGGAGGCAGCAGUGAGGAAUAUUGGUCAAUGGGCGAGAGCCUGAACCAGCCAAGUAGCGUGAAGGAUGACUGCCCUAUGGGUUGUAAACUUCUUUUAUAAAGGAAUAAAGUCGGGUAUGCAUACCCGUUUGCAUGUACUUUAUGAAUAAGGAUCGGCUAACUCCGUGCCAGCAGCCGCGGUAAUACGGAGGAUCCGAGCGUUAUCCGGAUUUAUUGGGUUUAAAGGGAGCGUAGAUGGAUGUUUAAGUCAGUUGUGAAAGUUUGCGGCUCAACCGUAAAAUUGCAGUUGAUACUGGAUAUCUUGAGUGCAGUUGAGGCAGGCGGAAUUCGUGGUGUAGCGGUGAAAUGCUUAGAUAUCACGAAGAACUCCGAUUGCGAAGGCAGCCUGCUAAGCUGCAACUGACAUUGAGGCUCGAAAGUGUGGGUAUCAAACAGGAUUAGAUACCCUGGUAGUCCACACGGUAAACGAUGAAUACUCGCUGUUUGCGAUAUACGGCAAGCGGCCAAGCGAAAGCGUUAAGUAUUCCACCUGGGGAGUACGCCGGCAACGGUGAAACUCAAAGGAAUUGACGGGGGCCCGCACAAGCGGAGGAACAUGUGGUUUAAUUCGAUGAUACGCGAGGAACCUUACCCGGGCUUAAAUUGCAGAUGAAUUACGGUGAAAGCCGUAAGCCGCAAGGCAUCUGUGAAGGUGCUGCAUGGUUGUCGUCAGCUCGUGCCGUGAGGUGUCGGCUUAAGUGCCAUAACGAGCGCAACCCUUGUUGUCAGUUACUAACAGGUUCCGCUGAGGACUCUGACAAGACUGCCAUCGUAAGAUGUGAGGAAGGUGGGGAUGACGUCAAAUCAGCACGGCCCUUACGUCCGGGGCUACACACGUGUUACAAUGGGGGGUACAGAGGGCCGCUACCACGCGAGUGGAUGCCAAUCCCAAAAACCUCUCUCAGUUCGGACUGGAGUCUGCAACCCGACUCCACGGAGCUGGAUUCGCUAGUAAUCGCGCAUCAGCCACGGCGCGGUGAAUACGUUCCCGGGCCUUGUACACACCGCCCGUCAAGCCAUGGGAGCCGGGGGUACCUGAAGUGCGUAACCGCGAGGAGCGCCCUAGGGUAAAACUGGUGACUGGGGC